rnacentral:lncRNA from 1 species
CUUCCCCCAAGGUCUGAGAGAUCAAAAGAAGACAGAAUUCAUUCAACUUAAACAGGAAAAAAUGAAACUUGAGGAUUAUGAGAGAAAAUUCAAACAACUCUCAAGGUAUGCACCACUCCUAGUGGACACUAAAGCAAAGAAAUUAAGGAGGUUCAAAUUGGGAUUGCAUCCUGAGAUUGGUGGAAUAUUGGCAUCCCACCAAUUCACCACCUAUAUCCGAAUAUUGCAGACUACCCAAGCAAUCUCAAAUAGGUUGGAAAUUGACCAAACUCCCCAGCAAGGGGCUGAGUCUUCAGGAAAGAGGAAAUGGAAUGGGUCCAACAAAGAGAAAGGGGAAGGAUAGAACAAGAAGUUUAACUUCAGAUCAAGUUUUAGACAAGUCGUUCCACCCUAUCCAAAGUGCAACAAAAUGCAUAGGGGUGAAUGUUUAUUUGGGAAGCAUGUGUGCUAUCGAUGCGGUAAAAAAUGGCAUAUUUUCAAAACUUGCAAAGAAGACCCUUCGAAGAAGAAUGACGAGCCAGAAAAGAAGGGAAGUGCCCGAGUUUUUGAUUUAGCCUAGGGACAGGCCACGGAAGACCCGAAUGCAGGUAAAUUUAGA